AAUUUGACAUGGAUAUCGAUGAGUACAGACAGUCAUGAUGACCUAUCUUUUCCUUUAUCCACAAAUGUCACCCACAAAACAAGCUAAACUGCUAAAGUGAUCAAGGAUUACUAGAAGUAGUAUGCACAGCUGGACAUGAAAGGAAAUAAAAUCCCUAUCUAUUCAUUUCUAACAGCAUAAUGCAAUCAUGGUGUAAUCGCGAAUAAUGGUUGUGUGAUAUUUGUUUUGUGUCUUUAUAGAUAAAGAUGAUGACAGCGGCAAUUGAUGGAACACUUGACAAGGAAGAAAUUGAAGAAGAAACUGAAGAUCUAACUAACCAGGUUAUGUAGUUACUGCAGUUUCAGUCACAAGGUGGUCGAUGAGAUUAAUGUUGGUGUUUCAUCCCAUGUUGGCUUUUCUUAAAUAGUUAUUUUUUUGUUAAGUUAAAUUUGUCAAGAAAACCAUUACAGGUGGCUUAAAAGUAAAAAGUUUGUUUCUUGCUU